UCCGGCUUAUCACCGGCAGUCCCUCUAGAGUGCCCAACUAAAUGAUGGCAACUAAUGGCAAGGGUUGCGCUCGUUGCGGGACUUAACCCAACAUCUCACGACACGAGCUGACGACAGCCAUGCACCACCUGUGCACCGGCCCCGAAAGGCUGCCGUGUUUCCACGGCUGUCACCAACAUGUCAAGCCCAGGUAAGGUUCUUCGCGUUGCGUCGAAUUGAACCACAUGCUCCGCUGCUUGUGCGGGUCCCCGUCAAUUCCUUUGAGUUUUAGCCUUGCGGCCGUACUCCCCAGGCGGGGCACUUAGUGCGUUAGCUACGGCACGGAAGGAGUCGACACCUCCCACACCUAGUGCCCAUCGUUUACAGCGUGGACUAC
rnacentral:misc_RNA from 1 species